GUUUAAUGACUGGCAUCUUUCUUACAGAUCAACCCACACUGGCUCUAACUCCUCCCACACCUCAUCAAAAUCUGCAUGACUCUCUUCUAGAAAGCUCUUAAAUUUGGGAGCGUGCUUGGCCAACUUGAACCUCGGCGGAAUUUCACAGGGCCAGAAGUUCCUUAUCCGCAGCACUCGUGUCGGUGGUUGGACGGUAAACGAGUGCCUUAACUGCCACCUCCUUACCCAUGCUUACCACAACACCAAUGGCUCCCUGGCUGUUAGCACCUUUAUGACUAAUGAUGCCAAUAAGAUCCAGAUGCUGCAGAGAUGCGAAGGUUAUUCCCCUGUGUUUUGUAUGGUUCUCCCAACAUCCAUAGAUAACCGACCGCUGCCACCACUCUCUCCUACGGAUUUCUCGGACGAACGUAGCUCUCGCACAGAAGAGGCGUUGAGAUCCAUUCAACAACAGGUAAUAAGGAAAUGAAGUUCC